CGACCGUGAGGACUCAUUCCUCUUUGAUGAAAAUUCUCUUGAAGUUUUGGGUGCGGCGGCGAGUGACCCAACCGGCGGCCGCAGAUGGAAACGAACGGAUUGGAGCAUUUACUAGAUCUGGUGGACAAGUUCCGGCCAAGGAGGUCGACGAGAACAUAGCAGCCGCAUCCGCUGCACCUGGCACUGGUCCCGCCUCGUGGACUCCAAUUCCCAGCUCAAGCUGAUUCCAAUGGCGAUUCCGGCUGUGUGCAUGUGGUUGGUGCGGGGCUUCAGCCGCAGAGUGGAGAAGAAGUGCGACAUAGGAAGAAAGCGUCGCCCGCGUCGCCGAUUAAAUCCACGGUGAACCUUGCAGCAGCGAGGUGGACAAAGAGGUUACGGCUGGGCAGAGUGCACCUCCAGACGGACUCCUUGCGCUUCUCCGACGAAAACGGAUGAUAAGGAAAUUCACUGAUGAGCCAACAAAAUGUGUAAUCCAGCAUGAGUUGUGGAUUAGUUUCGAAUCUGAAGUACUGCUGUAAGUGAGUGCCCACUUAGGACGGCUCAGAAAUUUACCCGAGCCGUUAUCUGAACUCUUGUCCAGUGCUGGCUGUUGGGCCAGCUACCCGUCUUAAUGACUGGCUCGUUUCCUUUUUUACUAUCCAAUACGGAUGGUGUACAACCAAUAAUACAUGUGGUG